rnacentral:sRNA from 1 species
CCGUUUCUAUUUGUGUGGGACUGAUAAAGUGAAUAUGUGUAUCUAUCCCUCCGGCAGUUACAAUAUAACCGGAACCACCAUGUACCUCGGUCGAGGCGCCGAUAAUCAUGUUUGGGGAUAUACCGUCUGUGGUAUCCGGGUUUCCAGCACAGCCUAUUCCAACAAUUUUACCGUCUUUAAUCCCAAUAUCGGCCUUUACGAUCCCCCAGUGUUCUAUAAUAAUAGCCCCGGUAAUUGCCAUAUCCAGUACGCCCUGAUCCCUGACUGCAAUAGAAGACUGGCACAUCCCAUCCCG